rnacentral:lncRNA from 1 species
UUUCCUGUAGUUUUCUAUGCAUUGAGGGUCAACAUAGAUGGUCUCAUAUUUUCCUCUUCGAGAAGGCCUUUGGUUGUUGAUAACUUCAGAUUUGCAUCAAUUACUAUUGCCCUUGUUGGCACUAUCUUCCUCGGGGCAAAUUUCAUACCUAGCAUUUGGGUUAUUUUCCAGUUCUCUGGAGCAACAGGUGCUGUUUGUAUAGCAUUCAUAUUUCCAGCUGCAAUCACUUUGAGGUGAGUCUGGUCACUGAACUCAUUUAGUUCUGUAAUGGAUUUUUUGGUGGUUUUACUGUUUGCUUUAGAUAUUUAGUGGAAGAGAAGUAAAAAAAAAUUGAAACAUGGUUAUAUAAUCGAGAUUCACAAGGACGACCGAUUUUCUGAAUCAUGUAUGGAAUCUUAUUAUUAAUUGUAAGAUACAUUAGCAAUAAAAAUAUGACAUUUUAAGUAAAUACAAGCAACAUAGCAAACUUAUAAACUAAUAUUUCAUCUACUAAUCUCAAAAUAAUGUAAGAUUCAACUCAUAAAUCAAAUGAUAAAAAAGUGGCUGUUUAUACAUAGUUGUCAGAAAAGAAGUGGCUGGCUAUUCUGAGUUUAGGUAGUGAUUCAUUCUAAUGAAUCAGGACUCAUCAUAAUGAAUCGGACUCAAGAUGAGAUUCAUUUCCAAUAUAGAUAUAGAUAUACAAUAAAGAUUCGUAUCAAAUGGAUUUAAUUUUGUAUCAAAUCAAAAUACGACUCUAUGGAUAGAAAUAAAAGUUUGAUUGAUUUACGUCAUUAUAGGAUUUUGUUCUUUAACUUGCAUCGAGACAAAAUACCUAAAUAAGCAUUCAUGAAGGACGGCAUUAACCUAGUUUAUUUGGUAAAUACUAACUGGAUUUCUAAUUAUCAGAAUCCAUUAUAUAGAAAAACUGCAGAAAAUGGUGAUAGUUGCCUUGUACCAUGUGACACAUCAGCCGCAACAUUGAUUAAAUACCUUUAACGCCCCUCAGACGAAGUUUUCUACGACAUUGAGAUGGCCAUUGACAUAUGGUAGCAGCAUAGAAGGCAGAGAGCAAACCCUAAGGCAAAACCCUAUCAGAGCCCUUUUUCUCUUCCAGGAGGAGGGCCCCCCCCCCACAAUAUUUUAUUUCAAGAAUUCUAAGAUACUUAUCAUUCUCUUAAGUAGUUUUAUAGACGGUUCUCUGUUCAUGCUUUUGCAUAUGAUUAUUCAACUCAACAAUUAUCAUUAAGCAUUUUCUUUUCCUACAGGGAUCGAUACAACAUAGCAACUAAAAAAGACAAGAUUAUGUCUGUCCUUAUGAUAGUGAUGGCGGUUUUUUCAAAUGCUGUGGCUAUAUACAGUGAUGUUUCUGCUUUGAUCAACAAGAAGGAAACUUAAUGUGAGCGAUUCCUUGAUUUGAUAGCUCACAGUACAAGUAUUUCCAUACUUUCAGAUGAAAGGAACAUAAUUUCUGAUGGUUGUAUAAAAUUAUUUUUUUGUGAGGGUCUGAUAGGUUGAUUAAUAUAAACAAAGCUACCAUAUGUGCAUAUAUUCUUCAAAACUGUGUGAUGGCCUGCAACAUGUUCAACGUUGGUUAUAACAGAGUAGAGUUAUAACAUCACAAAUCCGAAGCUGUAUACGGACAUGGUAUGAAAACAAACUCAACCCAACUGUCGACAUGAUUAAAAAAUAAAUGAAAAACACAAUGCUAUAUUUAUCCGACUCCGACUACAUAUUUGUUGCCAAAAUAUCAUAUUUCUUUUGUAACAUGCAAAAGCAUCCCAGAAUAUAGGAUGCAUGUUACUAAAGGGAUGUGCCGGUGGUUGUGAAAGAAUGGUCAAGUUCAAGCAGUUUUGGACAAGACAAAUAAAUUGAAUUAUGGAUUUGAACAUGUGUGGCUUGUUAAUAGAUUGUUUUCUAAAUUUUCCUUGUAAUUGAACUGUUGAUGCACUUCAUAGUAUGGCACAAUUAUAUAUGUUUUCGUUGAUUGGUUGUAAGAAGAGGUUGAAAAGAGAGAAAUAUGUGAAAAUGUAGUAGUUUUGACAUAAAGUGUGGUAUAAGAGAAAGAGGAGAGAAGAAAUAGAAGUGAAUCGAAAGUGAGAAGAGAGUUCACAAAAAUGCUGAAAUUGAUAGGUUGGACACCGUUGGUUUGAACUCUGACUUCUCCUAUUUGUGUGUGAGUUUUUAGUAGAUGUUGUCAUUUUGUCUAGUUAACAAAAGUGACUAGAAAAUUAUAAUUAUAGUUGAAAAGACUUAACUGUCCUUAAUAUUAAACAAUCAACAUACAAUUAUUUUAUAUUUCUUAAUUGAUUCGCUUUGAAUAGUUUGGUAUGUUAAAUUAAUUUUAAAAAAGAACAGCUUUAUCGUAUAAUUAACUUUUAUAUAAAAUAUGUAUUUUUCUUAAUAAAAUAUAAUAUAUUUAAUUUUCUAGUUUUUCGUUUUAAAUAAAUACAACAAUCUUUUCAACAUAAAAUAUAAACAUAAAAUAAUUAAAAAGUCAAAUAUAUUUCUCUACUUCUAUCUUUUCAACCCUUUACUUUCAAUGCCUCUCUUAUGUUUUUUAUGGGACAUAUAUAUAACCAUAACUACAUCCUUCUAUAAAAAAUCCUAUUUUUUAGUACAAAAAUUAUUAUCUACUUUCUAAUUCAAAAUUCAAUGAAAAUAAAAAAUGCAACUGUCCAAACCGCUAUCCUUUAACUUUAAAGAGUUUUGUCAUUUAUUACUAUUCUAUUAGGUUCAAGCGACUAGUUUCGACAGUUGUAUGUAGAAGGUAUUGAUUCACGCAAUAAAAUAAGUUAUCCUUUGACAAAGUUAUCUAUAAAAAAACAUUCCAUUGCAUAAUUGAGAAGGUAUUAUAUUAAUGCGUAUUUCUUUUUUAUUAUAUUUAAUUGACUCACACCAACCAAUGAUAACAACAAAUUAUUGUCUUUUGUCUUCUUUCAUCACUACCACUCAUUUUCUCUUGCUUCUAAUAUAAUAUCUUGGUUUCAUUGGCUUCUAAAUCUAAUACAGUAUUUGGUUUUAUUGACCUUUAAUGUGUAUCAAAGGUUGCUAUAAAGUUUUGAAUAUAUUUUUCAAGCUGAAAAACGGGUUUAUUCAAAAAAUAAAAAAGGAUACUGCAUGAAAAGUGAAAAUGACUAUUGGAAUUCAUGCACCUAACUUAGAGAAGAAAAAAUCAAGGAAGAACAAGACAACUAUUGAUGUAAAUGCACCUUUGUUACCUAAGACACAGGAAAGUGAUGUUAAGUUUGAUGAAUUUAAUGGAGCUUCAUUUUCUGGUGCUGUUUUCAAUUUAUCAACCACAAUUAUUGGUGCUGGAAUUAUGGGAUUGCCUGCAUGUGUGAAAAAGUUAGGGAUGGUGCCUGGUCUUAUUGUCAUAGUCCUAACAGCUUUAUUGACAGAGAAGUCAAUUGAUUUCAUAAUCAGGUUUUCUAGGGCAGGGAAACUUUCUUCCUAUGGAAAUCUUAUGGGAGAUGCCUAUGGGAAAUACGGAAAAGCGUCGUUGGAGAUAUGUGUUUUAACUACCAUCGGUAGUCUGAUCAUGUACAUGAUCAUUAUUGGUGAGACCAUAUUCUUAAGUCUAGACUUUUACUGUUAUCAUUAGAGAAGAAUUUAAGGUUGUAUAAUUCAAUUUUGUUUUUGUUCAUAUUGUAGGUGAUGUGAUUUCUGGAACAACUUCAAGUGGAAUUCACCAUGCUGGUGUCCUUGAAGGAUGGUUUGGUGUCCAUUGGUGGACCGGGCGUACAUUUGUUAUUACCUUCGCAACAUUUGUUGUGGUUGCACCUUUGGUCAGCUUUAAGCGGAUUGGUGAGUGAUAUUUCUUUUCUUGUAUUAAUUGGUUUGCAUAUAGAAACAUAUAGUUGUGUCAUUUACCGAAAUGGCUAUAGAUUAGAUGACCAUGUUAGGAAGAUGACUCAAAUGCGGGACGGUAAUUGUAUGGAUGAAAGUUUCCAUUUCAUCGUUUGUAAACUAAAAAAAAUGGUAAACAAGAUCAAUAAACAACUAGGUGGUACACAUGGUUAUUUGGAAUUGAUGCUUAUUUGAUACACAUGAUUAUUUGCCAAUACUCACUUUUUUCACUCAAGUACAAAUUGGUCUAUCUAUGAAAUCAAGUUUUGUUGCGAUGUUAUUUGGUUUGUGUCCAUGUAACACUUCUAUGACAAAUUUAGCUGUAUUCUCUGUGAUUAUUGCAGAUUCAUUGAGAUUCACGUCUGCAUUGUCAAUUGGAUUAGCAGUUCUUUUCCUUAUCAUUGCCGUAGGGAUCUCAAUUAUCAAGAUUAUUAGCGGCGGCAUUGGGAUGCCAAGACUCUUCCCGGUCAUUACUGAUGCAGCUUCAGUUUUCGAUCUAUUCACUGUAGUUCCUGUGCUGAUGACAGCAUAUGUAUGUCACUACAAUGGUAUCGAAUAGUUUGAAACCUUUCUCUUAAUGUUUUUAUUUCUCUCAGUAGACUUGUAUAAUUAUAAGUUGGUUAUGGAUUUGCAUGAAGAAGAUUAAGGUCUUCUGACUACUUAUUCCAUAAGCAUCACCUCAUUCUAUGUCCAACUAAUCUGAAAAGUAAGCAUACGUGUCAAUUUUUUAUGAGCUACAAAAUUGAUUUUCAGAUUAUUUUGGUUAAUUUCUGGUUGUGCAUCAUUAAUGAGUCAAAACACGGAACACUAAGGAAGUGUUUUUAUAUACUUGGUUGUUCAUUCUAUGUUACCAACACGACGAUUGAUAGUAUAAAUUUUUGGUUUAGGCUUGGUUUCUUAAUGUGGUUGUAUAAUCCACAAGCUGAUUCCACGUACUAAUAAACAUCGGCAACUAUUGCAAAAGUUUCGGUUAUGUGGGAGGAUGACAUCAAUGCAGUUAGCUAUAUAGAUCCACUUGUUUGCUUCAUAGAUUUAUUAUAUGGUGAUUACAGUGUGUGCUCUUUGUUUUCAGUUCAAAGCAUAGAGAAUGAACUGGAGGAUUCCUCACGGAUACGUGGGGUUGUGCGUACUUCCCUUACUCUAUGCUCUUCGGUGUACUUACUGACAAGCUUCUUUGGGUUCCUUCUAUUUGGUGAAGGAGUUCUUGAUGAUGUUCUUGCCAAUUUUGAUACUGAUCUUGGAAUUCCCUUCGGUUUUGCGCUCAAUGAUGCUGUUCGUUUGAGCUAUGCUGCGCAUCUUGUGCUUGUAUUUCCUGUAAUUUUCUAUGCGUUGAGGCUCAACGUAGAUGGUCUGAUAUUUUCCUCAUCAAGAAGGCCUUUGGUUGUUGAUAACUUAAGAUUUUCAUCAGUUACUAUUGCCUUUGUUCUUAUUAUCUUCCUCGGAGCAAAUUUCAUACCGAACAUUUGGGUUAUUUUCCAGUUCACUGGAGCAACAGGUGCUGUCUGUAUAGCAUUCAUAUUUCCAGCUGCAAUCGCUCU